AAAGGUAAGCUACUAAGAGCGAAUGGUGGAUGCCUUGACUGGUAAAGGCGAUGAAGGACGUACUAGACUGCGAUAAGCUACGGGGAGCUGUCAAGAAGCUUUGAUCCGUAGAUUUCCGAAUGGGGCAACCCAAUGUAUAGAGAUAUGCAUUACCUAUAUAGGAGCGAACGAGG
rnacentral:rRNA from 2 species